UACGGGGGGGGCAAGCGUUGUUCGGAAUUACUGGGCGUAAAGGGCGCGUAGGCGGUUUGCUAAGUUGGAUGUGAAAACUCUGGGCUUAACCCAGAGCCUGCAUUCAAAACUGACAGGCUAGAGUUCUGGAGGGGAUAGCGGAAUUCCUGGUGUAGCGGUGAAAUGCGCAGAUAUCAGGAGGAACACCGGUGGCGAAGGCGGGUCUCUGGGCCGUAACUGACGCUGAGGAGCGAAAGCGUGGGGAGCGAACAGG
rnacentral:rRNA from 1 species